rnacentral:rRNA from 1 species
UGGGGAAUAUUGCACAAUGGGCGCAAGCCUGAUGCAGCCAUGCCGCGUGUAUGAAGAAGGCCUUCGGGUUGUAAAGUACUUUCAGUCGGGAGGAAGGUGGUAAGGUUAAUAACCUUGGCAAUUGACGUUACCGACAGAAGAAGCACCGGCUAACUCCGUGCCAGCAGCCGCGGUAAUACGGAGGGUGCAAGCGUUAAUCGGAAUUACUGGGCGUAAAGCGCACGCAGGCGGUUUGUUAAGUCAGAUGUGAAAUCCUCGGGCUCAACCUGGGAACUGCAGCUGAUACUGGCAAGCUUGAGUCUCGUAGAGGGGGGUAGAAUUCCAGGUGUAGCGGUGAAAUGCGUAGAGAUCUGGAGGAAUACCGGUGGCGAAGGCGGCCCCCUGGACGAAGACUGACGCUCAGGUGCGAAAGCGUGGGGAGCAAACAGG